CGCGGGGUAGCACACUGAAUAAAAAAGGAAACUAUUACCACCAAGCAAGCAAAAAAAUAUGCUAAGGAAGUUAAAAAGCUAACAACAUAGCCUAGUUGGGAAGCUAAAAGAUGCUAACUUUACAAUGCCACAAACAAUUGCAUAUAGCAAUGUGAGUGAAAGAACAGUAUGUGGAAACCAAACAAAUUAGCUGGCUUGCUUGUUGGUUUGACAGAUAGCUAACGUUAGCUAGCUAGCUCCGUAUCUUUCUAGCUAACAUCUAUAACAAUGCUAGCAAGCAGCAAGGUAAGUGUCAGCUCGUCCUGAGAGUAGAAGCUGGUACCGACUCCGGCAAUCCGACUGAGCCCCGGGGAUUGGACACGACCCCAUACCCGAACCAAUAGUGGAGAAAUCGGCUCCAGAAAUCACCCUGACACCCAGCCCCAUCGACGGCGAUGAUGAGGAGGGCAGAAUCCCUCCACCGGCUGCCGCUGCCGCAGCAGCACACAUCAUCGUUUUGGAGAACAAUGCAUAUACAUCAAAAAUACAAUAGCUAGCAAACUAACUAGCUAACUGUCAGUGGAAAAAAUCCUAAAUAUCAUUUUAUUUGGUCAUCCCGAUAAGAAUUAAAGACAGCUAAGAAGAUUGUGUCCAGUCUUCUCUCAAAUUUAAAACGGCAUAAAAGCCGAUGUGGUGCAACUGCGCGAAGACAGCUAGGCUUCCGAUCCUCGAAUGUGAAAACAGUCCUUUAGAUCCCGAGAAUUUUGAAUAUCAAGCCAUACUUAGUUUCCACUUCAGAUACAACUAAAGAA